AGUGUGCAGAGAGCUUCUUGCUGUUUGGUGAAGGACCACAGCCACUUCAUAAAUACAGCACAAAAGGGUGAAGGCUUCUUCAGUGGAGAAGGGUUAUUCUGUGCUUGUUGCACUUGUUGCUUGGACUCAGUAGUUUAAAGAAGGCCAGACUGGUUCAGGAGAUAGGAGGCAUUUAGCAGUGCUGCGAUGGGGCGAUAACAGAGGUUUGAAUAGAUAUAGCCUUUAUAAAAAGCUUUUAUUAUAAGGUCUACAGGUCCCUGACUGGAGGACUCAUGUGCUGUGCUGCUCUCUCCUUAAGAAGCAUGUUCAGGACUGAGCCAUCUAUUUGAAAUGUCCUCCCAGCUCUCCACCCCUGCAGGAGAUUUUAAACAAAGGUUAAAGAAGGAAAGAAACAGCAUAAGCAAAUUUCAAGGGACAAGAUUAAUCACUGCACAUCGAUUCCACCAUGACAAACAGCCCAAGGAUUUACGUGCUGCUCACCUUGUGAUGACUGCCUGAUGUACAGGUUUUAUGAAGACAAGAGUGAAGGAGUGCAGCCCCCC